rnacentral:rRNA from 1 species
UACGGAGGGUGCAAGCGUUGCUCGGAAUCACUGGGCGUAAAGAGCGUGUAGGCGGUUUCGUAUGUCUGACGUGAAAGCCCCGGGCUCACCCCGGGAAGUGCGUUGGAAACUGCGAGACUAGAGUCCCGGAGAGGAAGGUGGAAUUCCAGGUGUAGCGGUGAAAUGCGUAGAUAUCUGGAAGAACACCGGUGGCGAAGGCGGCCUUCUGGACGGUGACUGACGCUGAGACGCGAAAGCGUGGGGAGCAAACAGG